CCAACCUCAGAGCUUGGAUGUCAGACUUUUGCAAAGUGGACUAAAUCCACAUGCUUAAGGGUAAGGAGCAUUUCUGAAUGAAGCUGAAAAAUGUCAAGACUGGCACAGGAACCAGAGAAAUGCUGACUAUGUAUGAUACUUCCAGUGGGCAGGCUCAUGAUACAGUGAUCACUGAGAAGUGACAUGCUGUAUAUUCCCUCAGAUGUUUAAAUGGAACAUGAAAGAGAAAAACAGCAGCCUAUUCCAUCUUUCAGAAACUCUACCAUCCACUGAAACCAGGACCACAGAGAAGGGAUUCCACAAAAGUGUGGUCUCACAAGAAAUGCUGGAUGCAGAGAAGUAGGUAGACAAGAAAACAAGGAAUAUCAUUGAUGAACGAAGGAGCUCACCUCCCAUGAAGGUGGAGGGCAAUGGUUUGAGAAUGAAGAGUUGUAAACACCAAGGCUUUCAAACAAUACACGGCUUCCAGGUACUGAAGGCUGAUUUUCAGAAAGAAUUUUUCAACAGGGAUGUUGUUGAUAAAAAUGAGUACUGGCAGAUCCAUUUAUCAAAGAGGUAGGUGAAUAACAACAUUGAAAGCAAUAACCACAGCUGGUUAGAAUUAUCUAAGUGCUGAAACAUACACAUUACAAAAAACACACAGUAUAAAACCCACAGCAAUGUUUCCACAGCUCCAAUUAGAUUAAUAGGUUGGUGGAAGACUGAAACUAUAAAACCACAAAAUACAGCACUUCUUUUUCCCGUAUAAUUGAAUCCACAGAUAUUGUGGGCUAUUCGAGUUAUGUAAAGAAAUGAUAAUAGCUAGACAGGUUUUAAGAUAAUCAAUAACACACACAUACAGCAUUAAUGAUUUAGUCCCUAAAUUUAUCUGGUUUCUAAACUUAAAAUUAUGCUUAAUUCAGUGAAAGUAAGGAGCUGAAUAAAACCUCCUGCCGGCACCUUUUAUAUAAUUAU
rnacentral:lncRNA from 1 species